ensembl:lncRNA
AUGCCAGCCCUGGAGGCAGUUGCCUCUGAACUCCCACUCACAAAAAAAAAAAAAAAGAAGGAGGAGGAGGAGGAGGAGAAGAAAGAAAGAAAGAAAGAAAGAAAGAAAGAAAGAAAGAAAGAAAGAAAAGAAAGAAAGAAAGAAAGAAAGAAAGAAAGAAAGAAAGAAAGAAAGAAAGAAAGAAAGAAAGAAGGAAGGAAGGAAGGAAGGAAAGAAAGGAAGGAAGAAAGGAAGAAAGGAAGAAAGAGAGAAAAGGAAAAAAAAGAAAACGUAGCUUUUGCCAGUGACCGCGCCCACACUACUUCCUGGCAACCAAGACCUUCACCAUUCAUCUGUCAGCAAAAUGAGUUACCACCCACCCUCAAGGGAGACUUCAGCUUUCCAUCAUCUCCAGUCACGAUGACCUGAUUCAGGAAGAGAGGCGUUGUGCCAAAAACACAGAUCUGAGGCCAAAUCUUAAGAAGAAUAGCUUGCAGGUGACUGUCCUCCUCGUCUGACAGCUGGCUUGGAGGGAACAGUUAACUGUGUGGCCUGGUGAAAGGGGCCAUUAGAUUGCCCCCUCUGACUUAACACUUCUGAUCAUCUAGACAGAGCUGGGCUUGGGAGGGCGGUGCUCUGGGCCUGGAAAUCUCCUGUGCCCGGAAGUUAGGUUUGGUCUCCAGCUUUGCAUUUCCCUCUCGCGAGACUCUGGUAGCCCUGGGUGAGUUUCCCCAGGUUCGAGUCGACCUCAGAAGGUCCUCGCUGGGCGCAGAUGAACACUUAGAGAGCGGGGCCCCUGUAGGGCUGGGCAGGGACGUGGAUUUGUUAGCUUCUUAGAACUGCAUGCAUCUUGUGUUUCUGAACAUUUAUUCUGUGUGCCAACAGCUCGUUGCUAGAUAUUUGCUCAAUCACGGUUUUGGUGUGCAGUCACAUGAAGAGUUUUAAUGCUGUUUACCGCUUUGCUCAGAGAUGAGGAAAGGGUAAUGGGAAAACUUUCUAAAGACACUAAAGACAUGGAGAUCCAAAAGUGGACCGCCUUUUAUUCCUGCACUUGGAGUUUUCCUCAGCUUAAACCUCACACAGGACAUCUUGUUUCCUUUUGCUCUCAAGCUUUACUCAACUGAGUAUUUAUUACCAAGCUCCUAUAGGGUAAAUGGUGUUGCCUGACUCCCUUAGACACGGACCAGGAUCGUUUGGGCCCCAACAACCUGCACCCAGAAACUGGAGAGCAGGCAGGCGUCAGCAAGGCUGUGUUUUCCAAAAUGGUGAAAGGCCUUCCUCACCUCCAGACCCUCCUCUGAUGACUUACCCAAUCUAGCCAAAACUUUGCUGAACUUUGAACCAUUGAAGUCACUCACAGUUUAGCCAAUCAAUAUGGCGCCGUUGCUGCCAGAAGGUGCCUGGUAAAAAGUACUCAUAGUGUUGCAGACUCAGCCAUAGAGUGACCCCUUGUUUGGAACAGCCAACGAGACACAGGUCAGAGCAAACCCAGGUUUGUCCUUCCCCUCCCUGCUCUGAUGUGCGCACCCACGCUGGGCUGGGCCCGACUCACCUAUCCACACGGCGCGGGUGAACGCACAGCGAGUCAUCCCCGAGACGCUGCGUGUCCUGAAGCUGAGAAAGUGCCCCCCUUUCCUCCAUCCUCGUUCCUUUCAAAACCUAGGAGUUCACCUCUGAUUUACUGUCUUCUCUGCAAUCAAGGAAAAUUUUCCCUAAGUCCCGAGAAAGAAUAAACGAAGAGGAGGGUCUGUUACUGCCUGGCCUGCCUUGCUUCCCAGGGUCCCAGAUAUUUAUACUGCGUGG